rnacentral:rRNA from 1 species
GAUUGAACGCUGGCGGCAGGCUUAACACAUGCAAGUCGAGCGGAGAUAAGGUGCUUGCACCUUAUCUUAGCGGCGGACGGGUGAGUAAUGCUUAGGAAUCUGCCUAUUAGUGGGGGACAACAUUCCGAAAGGAAUGCUAAUACCGCAUACGCCCUACGGGGGAAAGCAGGGGAUCUUCGGACCUUGCGCUAAUAGAUGAGCCUAAGUCGGAUUAGCUAGUUGGUGGGGUAAAGGCCUACCAAGGCGACGAUCUGUAGCGGGUCUGAGAGGAUGAUCCGCCACACUGGGACUGAGACACGGCCCAGACUCCUACGGGAGGCAGCAGUGGGGAAUAUUGGACAAUGGGCGGAAGCCUGAUCCAGCCAUGCCGCGUGUGUGAAGAAGGCCUUUUGGUUGUAAAGCACUUUAAGCGAGGAGGAGGCUACCUGGAUUAAUACUCUAGGAUAGUGGACGUUACUCGCAGAAUAAGCACCGGCUAACUCUGUGCCAGCAGCCGCGGUAAUACAGAGGGUGCGAGCGUUAAUCGGAUUUACUGGGCGUAAAGCGUGCGUAGGCGGCUGAUUAAGUCGGAUGUGAAAUCCCUGAGCUUAACUUAGGAAUUGCAUUCGAUACUGGUCAGCUAGAGUAUGGGAGAGGAUGGUAGAAUUCCAGGUGUAGCGGUGAAAUGCGUAGAGAUCUGGAGGAAUACCGAUGGCGAAGGCAGCCAUCUGGCCUAAUACUGACGUUGAGGUACGAAAGCAUGGGGAGCAAACAGGAUUAGAUACCCUGGUAGUCCAUGCCGUAAACGAUGUCUACUAGCCGUUGGGGCCUUUGAGGCUUUAGUGGCGCAGCUAACG